rnacentral:rRNA from 1 species
UAUUAUCACAGGGGGCGGUUUCCUACGGGAGGCAGCAGUGGGGAAUAUUGGACAAUGGGCGAAAGCCUGAUCCAGCCAUGCCGCGUGUGUGAAGAAGGUCUUCGGAUUGUAAAGCACUUUAAGUUGGGAGGAAGGGCAGUAAGUUAAUACCUUGCUGUUUUGACGUUACCAACAGAAUAAGCACCGGCUAACUUCGUGCCAGCAGCCGCGGUAAUA